rnacentral:rRNA from 1 species
GUAGUUUGACUCCGUGGCUACGAGGACGAACGCUGGCGGCGUGCCUAACACAUGCAAGUCGAACGAGAAUUUACUAAUUGAUUUCUUCGGAAUGAUUUUGGUAAAGGAAAGUGGCGGACGGGCGAGUAACGCGUGAGUAACCUGCCCAUAAGAGGGGGAUAAUCCUUGGAAACGGGGACUAAUACCGCAUAUUGUAGCUUUACCGCAUGGUUUAGUUAUGAAAGAUUUAUCGCUUAUGGAUGGACUCGCGUAAGAUUAGAUAGUUGGUGAGGUAACGGCUCACCAAGUCGACGAUCUUUAGCCGAACUGAGAGGUUGAUCGGCCGCAUUGGGACUGAGACACGGCCCAGACUCCUACGGGAGGCAGCAGUGGGGAAUAUUGCGCAAUGGGGGCAACCCUGACGCAGCAACGCCGCGUGCAGGAAGACGGUCUUCGGAUUGUAAACUGUUGUCGCAAGGGAAGAAACAAAUGACGGUACCUUGUGAGAAAGUCACGGCUAACUACGUGCC